AGUACUCGGUGGUGUCACACCACUGUUAAAACACGAAGAAGGUUUGUUUUUGUUUUUAUUUUUCUUUUUUUUUUUUUUUUUUGGUCUUGUUUUUUCAUCUUAAUUUUCACUCCACUUCCUUGUUGUGAAGAAAGCGUGAAGCGGUGCAUGCUGGGAUACAACAUGUCUCCUGUGGCUGUGGGUUCUUGCUAACCUCCGGAGCGUCACCGCGAAUACAUUCAGACGCGUGCACGUUGUAGCCUUGUCAAUGUGUCUUGGAUAAUAAACGAUACAGCACUGUUGCCAUGUCAACAAAAACGGAAUCCAGAGUGUCCAGUUCCAGUUCCAGCUCCAGGAUGGAUGACAAGAGCAGAGG